rnacentral:lncRNA from 1 species
UUGUCAUGUAAGAAAAAUCUAACCCUUACAAAAACUCAUUUCAAAAUGAGUAACUGCAACAUUUUUUCAGUCAUUGUGUGAGAAGGCUGUUGCAGGACUGCUGGGACUUCCCUUCUCCCCAGAAUGAGAUUCUGGUGUAAUUAAUGGGGCAUUUGGACUCUGAUAGAAUUUGCUUCCAUCCAGUUUCUCAUGGAAACCCUCCUGAUGCCUCUCAGAUCUUCAUGAAGACCCAGCCUUGCUGCAGGGAUGGUCCCGGCUGAAGCCAGGCAGGGAGGACGGCAGCGCAUGGGAAAUGCAGUGGCACAGGCCCUGAUGGAUGUCAUGAGCUCAGGGUUUGUUUAAGGUGUUCACAUGUCAGCAGCUCGUGGAUGCUACAGGAGACCAGGAAUGGCCGGAAUCUCUAUGCUGGCAGGAUUCAGAGAGGCACAAAGGAGGGAAAAACAAGUUUCAGCCAGAAGAGAGAGAGAGAGAGAGAAAAAAAAGGAUGCUGUUAGCAUUCCCUGUAUUUGAGGGGUAAAAACAUUUUGCUGUCAACUCUGUUUUAAAGGGUAAGUGCUAAAAGCAG